rnacentral:rRNA from 1 species
AGAGCGAACGCCGGCGGCAGGCCUAAUACAUGCAAGUCGAACGGAUCCUUCGGGAUUAGUGGCGGACGGGUGAGUAACACGUGGGAACGUGCCCUUUGGUUCGGAACAACUCAGGGAAACUUGAGCUAAUACCGAAUGUGCCCUUCGGGGGAAAGAUUUAUCGCCAUUGGAGCGGCCCGCGUCUGAUUAGCUAGUUGGUGGGGUAAAGGCCCACCAAGGCGACGAUCAGUAGCUGGUCUGAGAGGAUGAUCAGCCACACUGGGACUGAGACACGGCCCAGACUCCUACGGGAGGCAGCAGUAGGGAAUCUUGCGCAAUGGGCGAAAGCCUGACGCAGCCAUGCCGCGUGAAUGAUGAAGGUCUUAGGAUUGUAAAAUUCUUUCAGCGGGACGAUAAUGACGGUACCCGCAGAAGAAGCCCGGCUAACUUCGCGCCAGCAGCCGC